AUGGCCCUGAAUCAAGGCCGACAGUUUGUGAAGCUGUUGGUUUUAAGCAGGAGCCUGAAGAAAUGUCAUUCUAGGGUCUGUUGACCAUUUCAGAGUUUUGGAAAUACAGCAGAGAACAAAGA
rnacentral:snoRNA from 1 species